rnacentral:rRNA from 1 species
UACGUAGGGGGCAAGCGUUGUCCGGAUUUAUUGGGCGUAAAGAGCGUGUAGGCGGCCAGAAAAGUCCGCUGUGAAAACUCGAGGCUCAACUUCGAGCUGUCGGUGGAAACUUUCUGGCUAGAGUCCGGAAGAGGAGAAUGGAAUUCCUGGUGUAGCGGUGAAAUGCGCAGAUAUCAGGAAGAACACCCGUGGCGAAGGCGGUUCUCUGGGACGGUACUGACGC